GACUGGUCUGUCUGUCCAAUCAACUGAGCAACAGAUCACCAUGGCCAGCGUCCGAAAUGAGCGCAAGAACCAUGAAGUGUACAAGAUACACAUGGCCACCGCCCAUGAUUGGGAGGACGAGAAAAGGAAAGGGAAGAAAAUCUCUGAUGAUGGAACCAUGACGUUCUUUUGGCGGGCCCACACAUUGACGAUACUCUUCAUAUUCAGUUUCAUACUGGUCUACGUAUCGGUCUUUGAAGAAACCUCACCAAACACCAAUUUCAAUAUCAAAAGGGGCAUUGUAGCUACAGUUUUCACCUUCUUGCUAUUUGGUGUCACACAAACGCCUGAUGGGCCAUUCAGGAGACCACAUCCUGCAUUCUGGCGCCUUGUACUGUGCAUGAGUAUAGUUUAUGAACUGAGUCUUGUCUUCCUGCUUUUCCAGACUGUCCAUGAUGCCAGGCAGUUGAUGACACACCUGGAUCCGAAACUAGGAUCUCCACUUCCAGAGAAGGAUUACGGCGGCAACUGUUAUAUCUUUGAUUCCAACCAUUCAGACCCAUUCCAUAACUUGAAGGACAAGAUGGAUGGUUUCGUAGUAACACACUUCCUUGGAUGGUGGCUUAAGACACUGAUAUUAAGAGACUGGUGGCUAUGUACGGUGUUGAGUAUCAUGUUUGAGGUUUUGGAAUACACCCUGGAACAUCAGCUACCCAACUUCAGUGAGUGCUGGUGGGACCAUUGGAUUAUGGAUGUCCUGGUGUGUAAUGGUUUAGGGAUCUACCUUGGCCUGCAGACCCUCCGUUAUUUGUCCCUCAAGCAGUAUCAUUGGAGGGGCAUGUGGAACAUACCCACCUACAGUGGCAAGCUGAGACGAGUGGCUGCCCAAUUUACCCCCUACAGUUGGACAGACUACGAGUGGACACCGACCAGCAGCCUUAAGCGGUGGAUGGCCAUGCUGGGAGUCAUUGCAAUAUUCUUGCUAGCAGAGUUGAACACCUUCUAUUUGAAGUUUGUGCUUUGGAUACCCCCGGAGCACUACUUGUGUCUGGGUCGGUUGACCCUCUUCCUUGUGAUGGGUGCUGUUGCUAUGAGGGAGGUGUUCCAGUACCUUGAUGACCCGAAUUGUAAGAAAUUUGGUCGUCAGUCAUGGUUGAUUGCAGCUAUCAUCAUUACAGAGUUCCUUAUCACGAUACGGUUCGACUGGGUCACGAUAACCAAGCCAAUUCCGAAGACAAUGGCGUCGUUCUGGUUGGUUGGUUUCCUGUCGCUGCUUCUGUGGACGAUCUGGAAGUUUUACAUCAAGCGUGACGUGAAGAAUGACAUUCCGCAGCUGGAUGCUGCCACGGCGACGGUGGUGAAGCAGACCGUGUCGAUGACGUCGGGGUUGCUCGGGGGUGGCGCGAAGCCUGUCAUGGCGGCGAUGAAGCGGAAACGGCAGCCGGGGAAGCAGGCGCUUCACCAGAAUGACAUUUUGGAUAGGGAUGAUGAGGAGGUGGACGAGGGGAUGGAGGACGACGAGGAUGAGCAGGACAACAAGAGCGGAGUCGAUGACGACCAUUUAUGGUCGUCGCAGGAGUCAUCGCCACGAGUCAAACAGCGCUACACUCGACUCUGAGUCGCACUCAGACAGACACACAGACAGUAGUUUGUCUAGCAUCGUAUUGCACUGAGUGCACUCACGUGUGAAGACCAGCUUCCUCCCCCUUCCUCUGCCUAUCUCUCUUUUCCUCUCCCUCUCUCUCUCUUCCUUGUCUCUUCCUUUCUCAGUUCUUCCUCUUCCUCCCUCUGACCAGCUGCACAUAUUUUUCAACUCCAACCCUCCUCCCUUAUUUUGUCUGUGUGUUUGCAUCGGCAUAUGUGUGUGUAUGUGUGUGUAUAUAUGUGUGUGUGUGUAUAUAUAUAUAUAUAUAUAUAAAUAAAAAUGAUUUUACAUUAAUUUGACAGUUUACUCAAUACUUUUGUUAGGCAAUCCAGUGAUAGCUUAACUGACCAAACUUCAAAGUUACUAUCGAUAAUAUUCUUGCUUAAGAAGAAAUACAUGUGUGUGUGUGUAUAUAUAUAUAUAUAUUUAUAUAUGUAUGUAUGUAUAUAUAUAUGU
rnacentral:misc_RNA from 1 species